CAUUAGAUGGCUGAAAAAUAAGCAUUGAUCUCUUAAAUCAUUUUAUAGUAAAUAUUACUUCUAAUGG
rnacentral:tRNA from 1 species